UGGGGAAUUUUGGACAAUGGGGGAAACCCUGAUCCAGCCAUCCCGCGUGUGCGAUGAAGGCCUUCGGUUUGUAAAGCACUUUUGGCAGGAAAGAAACGUCAUGGGUUAUUACUCCGUGAAACUGACGGUACCUGCAGAAUAAGCACCGGCUAACUACGUGCCAGCAGCCGCGGUAAUACGUAGGGUGCAAGCGUUAAUCGGAAUUACUGGGCGUAAAGCGUGCGCAGGCGGUUCGGAAAGAAAGAUGUGAAAUCCCAGAGCUCAACUUUGGAACUGCAUUAUUAACUACCGGGCUAGAGUGUGUCAGAGGGAGGUGGAAUUCCGCGUGUAGCAGUGAAAUGCGUAGAUAUGCGGAGGAACACCGAUGGCGAAGGCAGCCUCCUGGGAUAACACUGACGCUCAUGAACGAAAGCGUGGGGAGCAAACAGG
rnacentral:rRNA from 1 species